rnacentral:lncRNA from 10 species
UGGGACUACAGGUGCCUGCUACCAUGCCCGGCUAAUUUUUUGUUGUUGUUGUCGUUGCUAUUUUUAGUAGAGAUGGGGUUUCACCGUGUCAGCCAGGAUGGUCUCCAUCUCCCGACCUCGUGAUCCGCCUGCCUUGGCCUCCCAAAGUGCUGGGAUUACAGGCGUGAGCCACUGCACCUGGCCCUGAUCAUUCAGGAAGAAGAAAUUACAUGAGGAGAACUUUCUAAUCAGUAUGCUUAGUGAUCUUGAGAUGACAUCAUACUGGAUGAUCCUAGUGCACCCUAAAUCCAAUAAGUGUUCUUAUGAAAGACAGAAGAGGAGAAGAUACAGAAAAUAGAAGGCUAUUUGAGGAUGGAAGCAGAGCUUGGAGUUAUGCAGCUACAAACCAAAGAAUGCCUUGAACCACCAGCAGCUGAAAGAGGUAAAGUAGGAUCCACCCAUAAACACUUGAGAAGGAAAGUGGGCCUACCUAUACCUUGAUUUCAGAUUUCUGCCCUACAGAACUGUAAGAGAAUAUAUUUCUGUUGCUUUAAACAUUUACGUUUGUGGUAAUUUGUUAUAACAGAUCCAGCAAACUCAUAUACUGGCACUGAGCAGAUAUUCAAUAAGAAUUGAUUAUGAAUUAUAGUCAUUAUGAUAGUGUGGCAUUGACUCAGAGAUGAACAAUUUGUUCACUGGACUAUAGCAGGAAAUUCAAAAAUUCAUGGACGACUUUUGAUAUUUUACAUAUGAAUUGUCAUGUCACCCAGAAAAAUGAAUAACUAUUCAUAACAUAGCAGUGAUGCAUUUGAUUAACAUAUAGAAAAAUUGUAAAUUGUAUUCUAACAUCACAUUAACUUCAAAUGUGAAAGAUAUCUUGUAUCACUUUUAAAGAAAAUAUAAAAUAUAUUUUAUUUAGUAAAAUUGAAUUUGUAGAAUGAUGACUUUUUUUUUUACUUUACUGCUUAAUACUUGAGAAAUUUUCCUCUUUGAUGAGGCUGUUAGAAAACAGGAACUCUAACAAUUAUAUAGUGGGAAGAUAAAUUCAUACAACGACUUUGGAAAGCUACUUGACAAUGUAAGGAUGAAAGUGCCCAAAGUUGUAAAAUUUCCCUGCUCUAUGUCUAUCCUAUGAAAAUUCUAAUAUAUAUAAACAACAAAACCAUAAAUAUUUAUUGUAGCUUUGUUUUUAACAUUUACAAUGGUAAAUAUAAAAAUGCCAACAUUUCCUGAUAUGAAAAUUGAUAGCUUUAUAUUAUAUAUAUAAUGAAAUCCCAUAUAGAAAUUAAACAAAAACGGAUACCCAAGUAUCAGCUGCAAUGGUUCUCAAAAAUAUCAUAGUGAGAUUAUAAAGCAUGUGUUGAAAUAAUACAGAUAAAACAAUAACAUCUUAUUUAAAUUUGAAGAUACAAACACUACCGUAUGCGUUAUAAAAUAUUCUAUACACAGACCUGUACUUAAAAAUAGAGAAAUAUACAAGGGGAUGCUAAACAAUUUUAGCCUGUAGUUAUCCCUUGUAGAAUUUCUUAUAAUCUUGUUUCUGGUUAUGUUGCUGUAUCAAUUAUUUUUCAUGUUUGGGUAUGUGUGAAAUAUUUCAUAAAAGGAAGUUGGACGUUUUAAUAAUACAUUGACUUUAACAGGAGGAAGAACAGGUGAUUGGGGUAUUUUGUUGUAUACCAACACAUGACUGAAAUAAUCAUCUAUUCUAAUUCUGUUCAGUUCAGUGGAAAGUCUUUGAAGGUUUUUUAACAGAGUUGCAGUUUGUCAUAUCUUUGAGAACAUUGUGUUAGAUUAAGUGGAACAGAAAUGCUUAGAGGGAAGGAGAUUAAAAUAAUGUGUUGUAUGGAUAUUUGAGGUGACAUACAAUAGAACUGGAAAAUAGAGAAACUUCAUGAAAAAUAGUAUAAAAAGAGACAUAAAUGACUUACCAAUUGACUCUGCUGUGUUUGAUAGAUGGGAAUUGUAGUCGUAACAUUGGAUGAAAUAGGAAAGACAGACUAGUAGAGCUCUUUGGAGGCAAGUUCUAUAAGUUCUUUUUACAUUUUGAGUGGAAGUUUUCACUUUUAAAUGAAAUGCAUAUGGAUAAAAAAUAAAGGUAAAUAUAGUUAUUAUGAAAUUGUCAACAUAAAAUGAGAGUUGAUGCAUAAAAAUGAACAGACUGGAAAAAGGGAACUUUUUAAAUAUAAAAAAAAUUGCUUCUUUUCUGAUAGUAUUCUUUCUUCUUAAACUUCAUGAUUAUUCCUGGAAAUUAAAGUGAAAAAAACUAUCAUAAAACUAUGACUCUAUCAUACUGUAACAUUUCAGGGCCCACAUUAUUAUACCUCCUCUCUCCAUCUUGC